rnacentral:lncRNA from 1 species
CUUUAAUCGAUAGAGGUUCUUCUUUAUUAAAAAAAGAAAACAUAAAAAAAGGAGUACAGCCGGGCAGCUAUACUCCAUGUUUUUAAUUUUGUUUAAAUGACAUCUGUUGACAAGUGGCGGUUAAUGAAUCGGGGAUCCUCUUUUUUAAUUAAAAAAUAAUAUAGCCGGCCUGCUAUACAUAUUUUUGACAUGUGGCCUUAAUCAAUAGAGGUUCUCCUUUAUUAAAAAAAGGGAAAAAAGGGUACAACCGCACGGCUAUACUCCAUGUUUUUAAUUUUGUUGUAAAAAAGACGUGUGUUGACACGUGACGCCUAAUGGGUUGGGGUCCUCAUUUUUAUAUUAAAAAACAGUAUAGUCGUUCGGCUAUAUGCAGUUUUUAAAAAGGUAUAGCCGCACGGCUAUACGAUUUUCACACGCUGCUCUGUUUUCUCUUUAGAAAGUCGUAUUAGCCGUGCGGCUAUACUCGAUUUUUUCCUUCUUUUUUUAUUAUAAAAGAGUAUAGCUGGGCAGCGUUACUGGUUUUUUUUUUUUUAAUUGUCUUUAUCAAUAAAUAGUAUAGAUGAGCGGCUAUAGUAUUUUACAUAUGUAUGCAUAUAUAUGUGUGUGUGUGUGUGUGUGUGUGUGUGUGUGUGUGUGUGUCUCCUGUUUAAUUUCGAAGUUUUCA